CCUACGGGGGACAGCAGUGAGGAAUAUUGGUCAAUGGGCGCAAGCCUGAACCAGCCAAGUCGCGUGAGGGAUGACGGUCCUAUGGAUUGUAAACCUCUUUUGUCGGGGAGCAAGGCCCGCCACGUGUGGCGGGAAGGAGAGUACCCGAAGAAAAAGCAUCGGCUAACUCCGUGCCAGCAGCCGCGGUAAUACGGAGGAUGCGAGCGUUAUCCGGAUUUAUUGGGUUUAAAGGGUGCGUAGGCGGAAGGUUAAGUCAGCGGUAAAAUGUCGGUGCUCAACACCGGCCUGCCGUUGAAACUGGUCUUCUUGAGUGAGCGAGAAGUAUGCGGAAUGCGUGGUGUAGCGGUGAAAUGCAUAGAUAUCACGCAGAACUCCGAUUGCGAAGGCAGCAUACCGGCGCUCAACUGACGCUGAGGCACGAAAGCGUGGGGAUCGAACAGGAUUAGAUACCCCAGUAGUC
rnacentral:rRNA from 1 species